CAGGUGUCCCCAACCCUAGUCUGUGGCUCAUUAGGAACAGGUUGCCCAGCAGGAGGUGAGUGAGUGGUGGGCGAGUGAGCAAAGCUUCAUCUGUGUUUUUACAACCAUCACUCGCAUUACUGCCCGAGCUGUGCCUCCUGUCAGAUCAGCGCAGCAUUAGAUUCUCAUAGGAGUGGGAACUCUAUUGUGAACUGAGCAAGUGAGGGAUCUAGGUUGCAUGCUUCUUAUGAGAAUCUAAUGCCUGAUGAUCUGUCACUGUCUCCUAUCUCAUCUAAUUGCAGGAAAACAAGCUCAGGGCUCCCACUGAUUGUACAUUAUGGUGAGACGUGGUCUUGUAACACAGUGGUUAAGAAUGUGACUUUGGAGCCAGCCUGCUAGGGGCUGAAUUCUGACUCAGCCAUUUACUAACUGUGUGACCUUAGUUCCCUGAGCACAUGCUGUUGAGUAAUCCUGCCUGGACCAGUACUUCCCUCACCCUAGACUUCACCUUCAGUUCCCCUUUAUACCACCUGCUGAAGCUGCCAGCCAGCCUUUUCGACCACCCUCCCUCCCCCAGGGGUGUUUGGCUUCUCAGACCCCAGCCUGAGCUAGUGCCCUUGGCUUCCUAGGGUCUUGCCAGGAAAGCAAAGGAGAACAUGCAUACCGCCAAAG
ensembl:lncRNA PCBP1-AS1 PCBP1 antisense RNA 1